rnacentral:rRNA from 1 species
GAUGAACGCUGGCGGUCUGCUUAACACAUGCAAGUCGAACGGAAGUAGCAAUACUUUAGUGGCGGACGGGUGAGUAACACGUAAGAAUCUGCCUCCAGGACGGGAAAAACAGUUGGAAACGACUGCUAAUUCCCGAUCAGCCGAAAGGUAAAAAGAGUAUCGCCUGGAGAUGAGCUUGCGGCUGAUUAGCUAGUUGGUAGUGUAAGGGACUACCAAGGCGACGAUCAGUAGCUGGUCUGAGAGGAUGAGCAGCCACACUGGGACUGAGACACGGCCCAGACUCCUACGGGAGGCAGCAGUGGGGAAUUUUCCGCAAUGGGCGCAAGCCUGACGGAGCAAGACCGCGUGGGGGAGGAAGGUUCUUGGAUUGUCAACCCCUUUUCUCAGGGAAGAAGCAAGUGACGGUACCUGAGGAAUCAGCAUCGGCUAACUCCGUGCCAGCAGCCGCGGUAAAAC